UCAUACAAGAAACCCAAAUCAAUAGCCAUUCGGCGUAAAGAGUGGGCAUAUGCUAUCUACACCAACUAAGAUCAAAACGUACCCAAGCUGUCAUAAGCCCAAGAUACACCCAAGCCCAAUCCAACACAUCUUAGCAUCUACGACCAAUUUCAACCCACGAAAGCUAGGACCCAAACUGGGAUUAGAUACCCCACUAUGCCUAGCCCUUAAUUCAGAUACCCCCCCCCCACCUAUGUAUCCGCCCGAGAAUACGAGCACAAACGCUUAAAACUCUAAGGACUUGGCGGUGCCUCAAACCCACCUAGAGGAGCCUGUUCUAUAAUUGAUAAUCACGAUCCACCCAACCACCCCUUGCCAAUACAGCCUACAUACCGCCGUCGCCAGCUCACCUUCAAUGAAAGAACAACAGUGAGCUCAAUAGCUUUUUUUCCCGCUAAUAAGACAGGUCAAGGUAUAGCCCAUGGGGUGGAAGAAAUGGGCUACAUUUUUUAAAAUAGAAUAAACGAAAAAGGACAUGAAACUUGUCCUUAGAAGGAGGAUUUAGCAGUAAAGCAAGACCAUUUUCCCCAAGCUUGCUUUAAGAUGGCCCUGAAGCACGUACAUACCGCCCGUCACCCUCUUCACAAGCCACCAACACCAAUAAAUAAUGCCCACUUCCGGCCAAAGACGAGGCAAGUGUAACAA
rnacentral:rRNA from 1 species